rnacentral:rRNA from 1 species
ACCGAAUAGGGGAGCCGGAGGGAAACCGAGUCUUAAUUGGGCGUUAAGUUGCAGGGUAUAGACCCGAAACCCGGUGAUCUAGCCAUGGGCAGGUUGAAGGUUGGGUAACACUAACUGGAGGACCGAACCGACUAAUGUUGAAAAAUUAGCGGAUGACCUGUGGCUGGGGGUGAAAGGCCAAUCAAACCGGGAGAUAGCUGGUUCUCCCCGAAAGCUAUUUAGGUAGCGCCUCGUGAAUUCAUCUCCGGGGGUAGAGCACUGUUUCGGCUAGGGGGCCAUCCCGGCUUACCAACCCGAUGCAAACUGCGAAUACCGGAGAAUGUUAUCACGGGAGACACACGGCGGGUGCUAACGUCCGUCGUGAAGAGGGAAACAACCCAGACCGCCAGCUAAGGUCCCAAAGUCAUGGUUAAGUGGGAAACGAUGUGGGAAGGCCCAGACAGCCAGGAUGUUGGCUUAGAAGCAGCCAUCAUUUAAAGAAAGCGUAAUAGCUCACUGGUCGAGUCGGCCUGCGCG